rnacentral:rRNA from 1 species
GGGGGAUAACACUUAGAAAUAGGUGCUAAUACCGCAUAAGCGCACGGUUCCGCAUGGAACAGUGUGAAAAACUCCGGUGGUAUACGAUGGAUCCGCGUCUGAUUAGCCAGUUGGCGGGGUAACGGCCCACCAAAGCGACGAUCAGUAGCCGGCCUGAGAGGGUGAACAGCCACAUUGGGACUGAGACACGGCCCAAACUCCUACGGGAGGCAGCAGUGGGGAAUAUUGCACAAUGGGGGAAACCCUGAUGCAGCGACGCCGCGUGAGUGAAGAAGUAUUUCGGUACGUAAAGCUCUAUCAGCAGGGAAGAAAAAAAGUCCUUUGGACUUUGGACGGUACCUGACCAAGAAGCCCCGGCUAACUACGUGCCAGCAGCCGCGGUAAUACGUAGGGGGCAAGCGUUAUCCGGAUUUACUGGGUGUAAAGGGAGCGUAGACGGCAGCGCAAGUCUGGAGUGAAAUGCCGGGGCCCAACCCCGGAACUGCUUUGGAAACUGUGCAGCUCGAGUGCAGGAGAGGUAAGCGGAAUUCCUAGUGUAGCGGUGAAAUGCGUAGAUAUUAGGAGGAACACCAGUGGCGAAGGCGGCUUACUGGACUGUAACUGACGUUGAGGCUCGAAAGCGUGGGGAGCAAACAGGAUUAGAUACCCUGGUAGUCCACGCCGUAAACGAUGAUUACUAGGUGUCGGGGGGCCAAGGCCCUUCGGUGCCGCCGCAAACG